rnacentral:rRNA from 1 species
UACACGCAAAGAUAGCAAUGGACAAGAGAGACAAGAAAAUUAAAACAAAGGUACAAAUACAAAAAGACAUUUGAUUGAUAGAAUACAAGACAGUAUAAAACUUUGUGAAUAAAAUUGAGUGGCGGGAUAGUGGCGGACGGGUGAGUAACGCGUGAAUAAUCUGCCCCAUACAGGGGGAUAGCCUCGGGGAAACCGGGAAUUAAAACCGCAUAACACUUUAUCACCGCAUGGUGAUGAAGUCAAAUCGAUUAAGAGGUAUGGGAUGAGUUCGCGUCUGAUUAGCUAGUUGGCGGGGUAAAGGCCCACCAAGGCGACGAUCAGUAGCCGGCCUGAGAGGGUGACCGGCCACACUGGAACUGAGACACGGUCCAGACUCCUACGGGAGGCAGCAGUGGGGAAUAUUGCACAAUGGGGGGAAACCCUGAUGCAGCGACGCCGCGUGAGUGAAGAAGGUCUUCGGAUCGUAAAACUCUGUCCUUGGUGACGAAGGAAGUGACGGUAACCAAGGAGGAAGCCCCGGCUAACUACGUG